UACGGAGGAUGCGAGCGUUAUCCGGAUUUAUUGGGUUUAAAGGGUGCGUAGGCGGGCAUUUAAGCCGGCGGUCAAAUGUCGGGGCUCAACCCCGGCCUGCCGUCGGAACUGGGUGCCUUGAGUGGGCGAGAAGUAUGCGGAAUGCGUGGUGUAGCGGUGAAAUGCAUAGAUAUCACGCAGAACCCCGAUUGCGAAGGCAGCAUACCGGCGCCCGACUGACGCUGAGGCACGAAAGUGCGGGUAUCGAACAGG
rnacentral:rRNA from 1 species